GACGAACGCUGGCGGCGUGCCUAAUACAUGCAAGUAGAACGCUGAAGCGAGGAGCUUGCUCUUCUUGGAUGAGUUGCGAACGGGUGAGUAACGCGUAGGUAACCUGCCUUGUAGCGGGGGAUAACUAUUGGAAACGAUAGCUAAUACCGCAUAACAAUGGAUGACACAUGUCAUUUAUUUGAAAGGGGCAAUUGCUCCACUACAAGAUGGACCUGCGUUGUAUUAGCUAGUAGGUGAGGUAAUGGCUCACCUAGGCGACGAUACAUAGCCGACCUGAGAGGGUGAUCGGCCACACUGGGACUGAGACAAGGCCCAGACUCCUACGGGAGGCAGCAGUAGGGAAUCUUCGGCAAUGGGGGCAACCCUGACCGAGCAACGCCGCGGGAGUGAAGAAGGGUUUCGGAUCGUAAAGCUCUGUUGUAAGUCAAGAACGGGGGUGAGAGUGGAAAGUUCACACUGUGACGGUAGCUUACCAGAAAGGGACGGCUAACUACGUG
rnacentral:rRNA from 1 species